CUUGAGUUUAAAUCCAGAACGCCACUGACGUCAAAGGAUGACAGCGGCCCUUUUUAUCAGCGCGGCUCCGCCGGGGCACAGGCAGCUGGCGACGCCGCGGGGUCCUAGCGCCCCCCGCCUUACGGCCGCCGGUGAUGAGUUUCAAGCAUUCAGGCUUGGAGAUGCCAGAAGCAGCCGGGAGUGAAAAUGAAAUGAUUUCACAACUUCAGCAAGUUAGGAACUACGAAGAAUAUGAAGGUAUCGACAAUCAUUUGGAAUGUUACAACAAAAAUGAAGAUUUGGAGGAUACAAUCGUCAAAAGGAUUAUAUGAAGGCAGUCCAUGAUUUGUAAUUGGUGUCUAUGCUGAUUUUGUUAAUUUAGAGUCAAUCAAAAGAACAUGGCAGCUUACAUUGAAUUAAUUCCUCCAUUGAUAACUAUUAGGAACUGAUACGCAGUUUAAAAGUAUUGACAGUGUUCUAAUUUGCUCUGUAUUUCAUUUAAGUACAUAAUUUGUUGUUCAAUUAAAGGGUAGUUUGUGA